rnacentral:rRNA from 1 species
UACGUAGGGGGCUAGCGUUGUCCGGAAUCAUUGGGCGUAAAGCGCGCGUAGGCGGCCCGAUAAGUCCGCUGUAAAAGUCAACGGCUCAACUGUUGAAAGCCGGUGGAUACUGUCGGGCUAGAGUACGGAAGAGGCAAGUGGAAUUCCCGGUGUAGUGGUGAAAUGCGUAGAGAUCGGGAGGAACACCCGUGGCGAAGGCGGCCAGCUGGGCCGACCCUGACGCUGAGGCGCGGAAGGCGUGGGGAGCGAACGGG